CUCUGUGUCAUUUUACACAGCGUGGGAAAGUUAUUUGGAACUUUCCCACACUGUGUAAAAUGACAGAGCA